AUUGAACGCUGGCGGCAGGCCUAACACAUGCAAGUCGAGCGGCAGCGGGAAAGUAGCUUGCUACUUUUGCCGGCGAGCGGCGGACGGGUGAGUAAUGCCUGGGAAAUUGCCCAGUCGGGGGGGAUAACAGUUGGAAACGACUGCUAAUACCGCAUACGCCCUACGGGGGAAAGCAGGGGACCUUCGGGCCUUGCGCGAUUGGAUAUGCCCAGGUGGGAUUAGCUAGUUGGUGAGGUAAUGGCUCACCAAGGCGACGAUCCCUAGCUGGUCUGAGAGGACGAUCAGCCACACUGGAACUGAGACACGGUCCAGACUCCUACGGGAGGCAGCAGUGGGGAAUAUUGCACAAUGGGGGAAACCCUGAUGCAGCCAUGCCGCGUGUGUGAAGAAGGCCUUCGGGUUGUAAAGCACUUUCAGCGAGGAGGAAAGGUUGAUGCCUAAUACGUAUCAACUGUGACGUUACUCGCAGAAGAAGCACCGGCUAACUCCGUGCCAGCCGCCGCGGUAA
rnacentral:rRNA from 1 species